UACUCAUACGCACGUCUCAAGAUUAAGCCAUGCAUGCCUUAGUAUAAACAAUUUUGUACUGUGAAACUGCGAAUGGCUCAUUAUAUCAGUUAUAAUUUAUUUGAUAGUCACUUACUACAUGGAUAACCGUGGUAAUUCUAGAGCUAAUACAUGCGUAAAAGUCCUUCGGGACUGUAUUUAUUAGAUUAAAACCAAUGCCUCCGGGCUUUCUGGUGAUUCAUAAUAACUUUUAAAAUCCCAUGUCCUUGCGACGGCGAGUUAUCCAUCUGACUUUCGCCUGUCAGCCCUACCUCGACGGGAUGCCCGUUUCUCUGGCUACUGUGGCUCCACCGGGUAACGGAGAAUUAUCAUCCAACGCCGAAGCAGGAGCCCCUUCCGGAACCUCCACCACUUCUUCGGCUAGCACAUGGAACGCAGGCCACUCGCACGCAGAUUAAGCAAGGGUCGAAAACAACGAUACUGGCCAAUCUCACCAAUACCCGACUCUUCCAAGACUAUCACCCUUGUACUGUUACGACCUAACAAAUGGUCUGUAUGAUGCUUCGAGCGCAUUCUUGCACCUCCGCCAGUGCUAUCUAUGCUGCUAUAAUAAUAUUAAUGCAGUUUGUGCUUCUUAAAUGGACUCGCAUCCCUCGUGGCAGUGCUCGGUCCGCAUUGCUGCAGCCCCUGUUCUGUCGCUUGUCUUCCCCGUGUGUCUUACGUGCCUGGCUUGUCGACCGGUGAACUUGAACGAGCUCCGACCCAGCAGCACGCUUGUUUCUUCUUUUAUGAUCAUGGAGCUUCAGAACUUGGUCCCUACUUCGUUUAAUAUUUCGGUGCGUGAACUCAGGUAUAUUAUGGCCGAGCCAAAGUCGUCGGUUUGCGACUCUAAACUAAAGUCUAGGGCCACGUUGGCGGAGAUGACCCCAGCUUUGCGGUAAAUUGAUGAUUCGCUAACAAUAAUUAAUGUCAAAGGAUUCACAAUGAAUGCUGACAUUAAGCGGACAUAAUCGUAAUAUUUGCCAAGGCGACCCUCGUGCUAGAUAUUUAUAUCUCUUGCUGUGGCGGAGAAUUUGUGCUGACGGUGUGAAUUCGAUGGACAGAUAGGAGGGCAUCCAGGAGAGAUGAGGGAUCUGUGGGGUUAAGGAGGACUUUAAGAUGUUAGAAAACUUCGACUUGU
rnacentral:rRNA from 1 species